rnacentral:lncRNA from 1 species
UAAAGUUGAAAAGUAAAAUUGAGAAUGGAAAUGGGGAAUGUGUCAAAGAGACAACAACCCGACCAAAUAAAAAACAACAGCAGAGGGUCAUCAACAGGUCUUCAAUGUAGCGAGAAAUUCCCGCACCCGGAGGCGUCCUUCAGCUGUCCCCUAAACAAAUAUAUACUAGUCCAGUGAUAAUGAACGCCAUACUAAUUUCCAAAUUGUACACAAGAAACUAAAAUUAAAAUAAUACAAG